UACAGAGGUGGCAAGCGUUGUUCGGAAUUACUGGGCGUAAAGGGCGAGUAGGCGGCCUUCUAAGUCAGACGUGAAAUCCCCCGGCUUAACCUGGGAACUGCGUCGGAUACUGGAUGGCUUGAAUUCGGAGAGGGAUGCAGAAUUCCAGGUGUAGCGGUGAAAUGCGUAGAUAUCUGGAGGAAUACCGGUGGCGAAGGCGGCAUCCUGGACCGACAUUGACGCUGAGGAGCGAAAGCUAGGGGAGCGAACGGGG
rnacentral:rRNA from 1 species